rfam:Methanocella paludicola SANAE DNA, complete genome.
GCCGGGAUAGGGUAGUUGGCAAUCCUAUGGGACUGUGGAUCCUUUGAGCCGGGUUCGAAUCCCGGUCCCGGCC